CCACUUGGCUAUUUAAAAGCCAUCACACACAGGAGGCGCCCUCCCACCCUAGUCUUGCUCUUCUCCAGCCAUUCACCCUGUCGCUCCGUCCAAAAGCCCAGGAAUCUUGGCUGGCCUUUCUCCUUCUCCCAGAGCCCUCAUCCAUCAGCAAACCCCAUCAGUUCAGCCUUCCACAUCCGCCGCUUCCUCAGCCCAAGUCGCUUCCUCUCCUACCACAAACAUACCUCCCAACUGAUAACCUGGAUUCCACUCUUGGCCCCCAGCUCCCAGCAUCUACUUUCCACAUGGCCACCAGAACAACACGCUAUAACUCACAUCAACCCAUGUAACUCCUCUGAGCAAAACCUCCCGAUGGCUUCUUGCUGUCAUACUUGGAAUGACGUCUGAAGGGCCCAGUGGCCCAAGAUCUGUUCACUUUCUUGGCGGCCUAUUCUCCGUGAUCCCCUUAUUCCCACUGGUCUUCUGGCUGUCCCUCAGAGACACCAAGUGCUUCCCAGCUCCAGGGCCUUCUCACUGAUGCUUCCUUAACCAAGAUGCUUCCUUUGACUGGGAUGCUCCCCUAACCAGAUGCCCUCUCUGCAGACAUUCUAGUGGUCCCCUCCUUCAUCUCAAAACCCAUCUUCCUAGGCCUUCCCUGGCUACCUUCUCUAAAAUAACAGCCCUAAAAUAAAAUAAAAUAAUAGUCCAGUCACACUUCCAUCCUAAUACUCUGCUUUAUUUUUCCCCAUAGAACCAGAGAACAUUGAUUGUAUUCUGCAUCUUUGUCUAUUAUUUGUAUCCCCUGUCAGAUGGGAGCUCUGUGCAGAGAUGCGCUUCAUUUUUUAGGAUGUUGAGGCCCCAGAAUUUAGGACGGUGACAAGCAGAUGCUCAAUGAGUGCACGAGUGAAGGAAUGAAUGAAUGAAUGAAGCAAUUGGUUGGUCACCAACUGAAGCUGGAAGCUAAAUGCCUUGUAAAGUUUGUCUAGUUCUUCUGGUCUGUAUCAGGAGGAAGGUCUAUGUAACAGGGCAGAGGAAGCACCACACAAACUCUCUUUUCAAGCCCGUAGCCUAAAUUCACAACAGAAACAUCCGAUAAGACUGUGUGCACGUCUCCUGGGGGGCUGCAUUUCUGCCCUUUCACGGGAACCAUCCCUGCACCUGUGUGCGCAGUAGGUGGCUCUGAGCAGCAGAGAGAAAUGCCAGCAGAGCUAGGAACAGUUCCCGAUGCUUUCAAUAGCUCCUUUUCUGUCUCCGUGACGAGAACAGUUGCUGGCUGCAUAUAUAAUCUUCUGUUUAGGUAACAUCCUAUUUGCAUGCUGAAACCAUGUCCUUUUUCCCCAUUACGGAUGCAAAAAGAUUGCUUCUUUCUAAUUAUGUUGCAGGCACUCAGGGAAUUCAAAGAGCAGAAAAUAUGUCAGGAACAAUUUACAAAUUGUGGCUAUUUAUGUACACGCUUGCCUGGACUACAGCAAAUAUAGAAAGGGGGAAAAAAUGCUCAUUAAAACUACCAGCUCUCCUCAGCAGAUCUGUGCUGGCAUUUGUUCUUUCAGUCCUCACUAAAUACAAGCCUAAGCCCUAAAUAGGAAUGUGACUGUGGGAAAAAUUAUUUUUCCCCAUCUCUUGGUUGUUUUCAGUGGGAGUUUAGAAAACGAAAGUUUCCCUAACAGCUCCCAUCUCUCCUUGGAAACUCCGUUUCUCUUGUCCUCAAGUCACUGUUUCUAAAAACAUGUUUGUUUGUUUUUUUUUCUCUUUUUGUUAACUGAGCCAUGCCAGGAGCUGGAAAAUUCUUUCCCGAGUCAGGAUCGAAUAAUUACUCCUUGAGAUGAAGAUACUGCCCGUGAGACGUAGGACUUCCACACUCAUGUCAAAACUUUUGAGAUAAAAUUUGUUUCUACAUUUUGAACUCCAUUAAAUUAUGAGGCAUUUGAAAGCCUUCUAGUUCUUGGGUAUCUUACCGAAGGGCUAAGAAAAGGACUGUACAAAGCCUUCAACAUAUAAACUUUCCAUCAAAAACUUCGGUAGAUAUGAAUAAAGCCACGCCAGAGAAUCCGAGUAUAACAGUUCUACCCAUUACAACAGAGGGAGUUAUGGUUGCUUGGGUUUAGGAAUUUCAAAAGGCCUUCUGGAACAUUCAUCAGCCCAAACAGAGAAGCUUCUAAGCAUCUUACAAGGCAUGUCUUUUCAGAGUCCCACACUGCCAACACCACUUUGCCUCAAUGGGCAGCUCUGAGCUUGUUUCUUAAGCUAAGUGUUGGGGAGCACCCAGGAACGGUCACCAAGCUCAACCGUAGGCAUGAAAAGACCUAAGAGUCAAUCAAGGCCCUGACAAACUCUUACACUGGCCAGAUAUACACUGACUUGAAAUCAAGGGCAAAUCCCCGUUUCCCAUUACAAAGGAAAGCGCUGGCUAACGUGAAUGUAUGGAGAUGCAGAUGCACAUGAAAUUGUCAAAUGUUCACUUUCACUGCUGAGUUUAUUGACUUAGUUGUAUAUGCAUAUUUAACGUACGAUAUUACAUGUUAACUUAGAAAUGUUGCUUUUUGGAGUUCCCGUCGUGGUGCAGCAGAAACGAAUCUGACUAGGAACCAUGAGGUUGCGGGUUCGAUCCCUGGCUUCGCUCAGUGGGUUAAGUAUCUGGUGUUGCCAUGAGCUGUGGUGUAGGUCACAGAUGUGGCUGGGAUCCUGCGUUGCUGUGGCUGUGGUGUAGGCCGGCAGCUGCAGCUCUGAUUCGACCCCUAGACUGGGAACCUCCAUAUGCUUCAGGAGCGGCCCUCAAAAGCUAAAAAAUAAAAAUUAAAAAAAAAGAAAGAAAUGUUGCUUUUGCUCGUUCUCACGUUUCACAGAGAGUUUUAUGCCAUCUCUGUGCCCUUGACGCCAGUGCUGCUGCCUUCACAAGAGGGACUCUUGAGUCAUCAGUUUUCAACAGCACAUCAUUUGUACUUUCAUCUAAGUUAUUUAAGGUUUGGCUCUUUCAGAAUCCACAUACGAGGCUGUCGCUGUGAUUUUAUUCUGAGCUGCAAAGACCCACUUGGGCAGCACUGCCCCACGAUACUUGUUCUGGUUUGUUUUCACACAACCGGAGAAGUCUAUUCAACUUGCGCUCAGUAACCUCAUGCUGUGUUGCUCAGUAUGGCUUGGGUGCCAGAAGGAGCAAUGGAGUCUGACCCAGCGCAGGGUUGAAAGCUCGUAAAUGCAGAGUUAGGGGAGCGAGAGAUGGGGCAGGACCAGAGGCCGGGAAACGUGUAAGGAGGCCACUGGCAUGGUCCAGGCAAGUUGUAAUGAGGGAUUCAACGAGACCGGUCAUAGCAGGAAGAGAUUCAAGAAAUAUCCAUGAAGCAAAACUAGCAGGGCCUGGGAACUAAGUGGAUUUAGAGGGAAAAAAGGAGGAGAGAUAAAUGAUGCUAAGGAUUCUGGCUUCAGACGCCGAGGAAACGUGGUUCUGUUACAUCCUUGGUACAAGGAAUCAAGGAGACAGGGGAAGCUGAGGUCAGGGGAGAGGGAGACCAGGUGAUCCAUUUCACAGGCAUCAGAUGUAAGUGGCUGUGGACAAACAAGUAAAGACAUCCAAUAAAAAGAGCAGGGAUGUUUGUUCCUCAUGUCCACGAAAAGACUUGACUCAAUAGCCAACCCGGGGGCCUCAGUCCACAAGUUCUAAGUAGAAGUGUGAGCCUGGCAUAAGAGUCUCAGGGGAGAAUGUGAGCAAAAAGAAAAGGGGGGCUGCUGGUAAAAGGUUAGGGUGUUAAAAGCAUGCAUGUAUGGAUGACUGGGUCAGUUUGUUGUACAGCAGAAAGGGGUACAACAUUGUAUAUCAACUAUA
rnacentral:lncRNA from 1 species